GGAGGAAUAUUGGGUCAAAUGGGGCGCAGGCCUGAACCAGCCAAGUCGCGUGAGGGAGGACGGUCCUACGGAUUGUAAACCUCUUUUGUCGGGGAGUAACGUGCGGGACGCGUCCCGUAUUGAGAGUACCCGAAGAAAAAGCAUCGGCUAACUCCGUGCCAGCAGCCGCGGUAAUACGGAGGAUGCGAGCGUUAUCCGGAUUUAUUGGGUUUAAAGGGAGCGCAGGCCGCCGGGCAAGUGUGUUGUGAAAUGCAGUCGCUCAACGUCUGCACUGCAGCGCGAACUGCCCAGCUUGAGUGCGCGCAACGUUGGCGGAAUUCGCCGUGUAGCGGUGAAAUGCUUAGAUAUGGCGAAGAACUCCGAUUGCGAAGGCAGCUGACGGUGCGUAACUGACGCUCAUGCUCGAAAGUGCGGGUAUCG
rnacentral:rRNA from 1 species